rnacentral:rRNA from 1 species
ACGGCUCAGUAACACGUAGUCAACAUGCCCAGGGGACGUGGAUAACCUCGGGAAACUGAGGAUAAACCGCGAUAAGUCACUACUUCUGGAAUGGGUAAUGACUAAAAUCUAUAUGGCCCCUGGAUUGGACUGCGGCCGAUCAGGCUGUUGGUGAGGUAAUGGCCCACCAAACCUGUAACCGGUACGGGCUCUGAGAGGAGGAGCCCGGAGAUGGGCACUGAGACAAGGGCCCAGGCCCUAUGGGGCGCAGCAGGCGCGAAACCUCUGCAAUAGGCGAAAGCCUGACAGGGUUACUCUGAGUGAUUUCCGUUAAGGAGAUCUUUUGGCACCUCUAAAAAUGGUGCAGAAUAAGGGGUGGGCAAGUCUGGUGUCAGCCGCCGCGGUAAUACCAGCACCCCGAGUGGUCGGGACGUUUAUUGGGCCUAAAGCAUCCGUAGCCGGUUCUACAAGUCUUCCGUUAAAUCCACCUGCUUAACAGAUGGGCUGCGGAAGAUACUAUGGAGCUAGGAGGCGGGAGAGGCAAGCGGUACUCGAUGGGUAGGGGUAAAAUCCGUUGAUCCAUUGAAGACCACCAGUGGCGAAGGCGGCUUGCCAGAACGCGCUCGACGGUGAGGGAUGAAAGCUGGGGGAGCAAACCGGAUUAGAUACCCGGGUAGUCCCAGCUGUAAACGAUGCAGACUCGGUGAUGAGUUGGCUUCUUGCCAACUCAGUGCCGCAGGGAAGCCGUUAAGUUUGCCGCCUGGGGAGUACGGUCGCAAGACUGAAACUUAAAGGAAUUGGCGGGGGAGCAC